rnacentral:lncRNA from 1 species
CUCAGAAUCAGAUGAAGUCAGAAGAAGAUGGAAUAGAAGGUCAUCCUACAAGAAGAACAGUAGGAGCUUGACUUAUGAUAAUUCUGUGUUCAAAUCUCAGGAGCUGGGUAUUCUUGGGCAAGUGACUUCAUUGUCUCUUGCCCUCAGUUUUCCCACCUACAAAAUGGGAUAACAUCUACCUUGCCAAACCAUUGUGAUGCCCAAAUGAGAUGGUGCCUAACACGGUACCCAAAACAGACCAAGAGUAUAUAUCGGGUUUUCACCCUGCCAACCUCAGGCUCCUGAUGUCUGCCACUUCCCUAUAGGAACCUCGCCAGCCAAGCCACCUCUUGUUCUCUUGAUUGCCUUCAGUGACAGACCAGCUUUGGUCUCCAUGGUUGCCUAGCUCUGUUCAUUGGACAGCUAAUUUCCAUUGCCUGCAGGUCUCCACUUGGCAUUGACAAGAGCUGCCACUGAGGCUGCACUAUCAAAGCACCUGAGCUCUCUCUCCAUGUUGCCUGGGAUGCCCACAAAACUCUAAGUUUCCCUUUGUCAGUUCCUGGGAAAGAGUGGCUACAUUUUCUGAAAGCUCCACAUGGUGUCAGUGGUCAGAUGCCAACUGAGUAAAUUAUUACAGAGACUCCAAAAGGCUGCUCAGAUUCUUCCACCAGCUGUGAUCUCUUAAGGGCAAUACCUAGGUCUCAUUCAGCUCUGCCUCUUCAGGGUCCACAUCUAUUUAUGGACAGUAGGUACUCCUGUAUCUUGAGAAGUACAUGUACACUUGGGCUUGCUUGUUGUUGUGGGAAGGGUGUGCCUUCGGUAACCAUGUCCCAGAAAGAGGAUGAGAGACAUGGCCAGAUCUGCAUCCUCUAA